UACGGGGGGAGCAAGCGUUGUUCGGAUUUACUGGGCGUAAAGGGCGCGUAGGCGGCCACGACAAGUCACUUGUGAAAUCUCCGGGCUUAACCCGGAACGGUCAAGUGAUACUGUCGGGCUAGAGUGCAGAAGGGGCAACUGGAAUUCUCGGUGUAGCGGUGAAAUGCGUAGAUAUCGUUUGGAACGCCAAUGGUGAAAACAGGUCGCUGGGGACAUGCUGACGCUGAGACACGAAAGCCAGGGGAGCAAACGGG
rnacentral:rRNA from 1 species